UUACGGGAUGCACCAGUGGGGAAUAUUGCACAAUGGGCGCAAGCCUGAUGCAGCCAUGCCGCGUGUAUGAAGAAGGCCUUCGGGUUGUAAAGUACUUUCAGCGGGGAGGAAGGGAGUAAAGUUAAUACCUUUGCUCAUUGACGUUACCCGCAGAAGAAGCACCGGCUAACUCCGUGCCAGCAGCCGCGGUAAUACGGAGGGUGCAAGCGUUAAUCAGAAUUACUGGGCGUAAAGCGCACGCAGGCGGUUUGUUAAGUCAGAUGUGAAAUCCCCGGGCUCAACCUGGGAACUGCAUCUGAUACUGGCAAGCUUGAGUCUCGUAGAGGGGGGUAGAAUUCCAGGUGUAGCGGUGAAAUGCGUAGAGAUCUGGAGGAAUACCGGUGGCGAAGGCGGCCCCCUGGACGAAGACUGACGCUCAGGUGCGAAAGCGUGGGGAGCAAACAGGAUUAGAUACCCCGGUAGUC
rnacentral:rRNA from 1 species